rnacentral:rRNA from 1 species
UGCCAGCCGCCGCGGUAAUACGAACUGUGCGAACGUUAUUCGGAAUCACUGGGCUUAAAGGGUGCGUAGGCGGCCUGUUAAGUAGGGUGUGAAAUUUGUCGGCUCAACCGGCAAACUGCAUUCUAAACUGGCAGGCUUGAGUGAGUCAGGGGUGUGCGGAACUUCCGGUGGAGCGGUGAAAUGCGUUGAUAUCGGAAGGAACGCCGGUGGCGAAAGCGGCACACUGGGGCUUUUCUGACGCUGAGGCACGAAAGCCAGGGGAGCGAACAGGAUUAGAUA